UUGAAUUCAUAUACGCAAAGGAGUUGUUGCUGGUAAUAAACAUUGCAUGUGCACACUCUAGAGCUAUAUAUACACACACCUGUGAACCAACUGUAGUCAGGAGAAAUUCUGACUAUGAUUACUCUAUAUAACUCUAUUGUACGUUACAUAGAACAAUCUUAUAUUGAAGUCUUUUUAUAAGCUUCUCUUAAUUAAAAAUAUA
rnacentral:misc_RNA from 1 species